rnacentral:rRNA from 1 species
CCUACGGGUGGCAGCAGUGAGGAAUAUUGGUCAAUGGGCGCUAGCCUGAACCAGCCAAGUAGCGUGAAGGAUGACUGCCCUAUGGGUUGUACACUUCUUUUAUAUGGGAAUAAAGUGCAGUAUGUAUACUGCUUUUCAUGUACCAUAUGAAUAAGGAUCGGCUAACUCCGUGCCAGCAGCCGCGGUAAUACGGAGGAUCCGAGCGUUAUCAGGAUUUAUUGGGUUUAAAGGGAUCGUAGGUGGAUUGUUAAGUCAGUUGUGAAAGUUUGCGGCUCAACCGUAAAAUUGCAGUUGAAACUGGCAGUCGUGAGUACAGUAGAGGUGGGCGGAAUUCGUGGUGUAGCGGUGAAAUGCUUAGAUAUCACGAAGAACUCCGAUUGCGAAGGCAGUUCACUGGACUGCAACUGACACUGAGGCUCGAAAGUGUGGGUAUCAAACAGGAUUAGAUACCCGGGUAGUC